GGAGCACAGUCAACACCCAAACCGGCAGGACAGGGAGUGCCCUGCCCGGUCACAGGAGCCACCUAAAGGUCUGCUUCCUGAGCUCCCCCCACACACCCUAGCCAGGCUGGGAAGGAUUCGGAGCCCUGGACUUCUCUCCCCAGCUGGUUAUGCCUCGUGAGUCCUCCUGCCCCAGAGACUGGGCCUCAGUGGCCGCGCCCGGGAAAUGGACCAAGCAGAAGCAGCCCAGGGGCUUGCAGCAUUAACAGACCCUCAGGAGGAUUCGAGGCUGGAUUCAGGGUAGGACCCAGAACCCUGGUAGCCCCAGAGGAGUGGUCAAACUCCUCCCCCACAUGGUCUUCAGCAAUCACCCCAGAUUGCCCCCAAAGUAAGUGUCCAAUCCAGGAGGAACCCAGUACGUGCUAUGUGGCCACAGCUGCUAGACAGGGUCCUGCCACCCCUCCCCCUCCUGGGUGGGAGCGUCGGGCUGACCCCUUUCCUCCUGGGACCAGGGAAAGGCCAUCCUGCACCCCGGGAGUCCUGGGGGAUCCCGAGGGGCCCAUCUUCCUGAGCUGAGCAGGGAGUCCAUUCCCCAUCACCCCACCAGGCCCCCAGGGAGAAUCACCAGAGCUACAGGCAGCCAGGCCCCCCCAGGGAGCCAGCUCCACAUCUGGUGUCUGACCCCUCAGUGCACCUGGGGCAGUGGCCACGCUCCCUGAAUGUUCCGCAUGGCCUGGCCACUUCCUGUUGUUCCGAGAGGCUGUGACGGGUGACUGGCAGAGGCUUGGAGUUCUCCUAGGACAGCACCUGUCAAGGGGCCAAAGGGAAAGAGUGGUCCCCCGAGGUGGUAUGACCUGCUGGGGCCACCAGCUGGGAAAGAUGGAUGGGAGGCCUGUUGUUCUCAUGGGUUAUUAUGAGAGUUAGUCAGGAGAGAAGGUUAGGUGCCUGGUGUCCUUCCUGGCACAUAGUAGGUGCUCAAGAAACAGUCAAGCUCCUCCCCACCAAACUCCUUAAAGGCAAACCUACAGCGUCUUCUUGCCUGCUCUCUAUGUAGUCGGCACCUGUGGGCUGCAGACAGCAGAUCUUAAGGGGGUGCAGUGCUGGCCUCCAAGUCCAAGAGCGGAGGGUUUAGGUCAUGCUGACCUGGAUAUCUGUAGGUAAGUGUGCUCCCUCUUAGUGUCUCGGUUUCCUCAUCUGUAAAUUGGGACUCAUAUAAGUACCACCUCAGAAUGUAUGUGAGCCUGGAGUAGAGUGUCAGAUGCUCAGCACUGCUAGUAUACAGCAAAUGCUCACCAGUGUCAAGGCCAUGGGGGGACAUCCUGAUUCCACACCUGUGCCUGAUCCCGAGCCCCACCUGGUGGCUUGGUUUUGAGGCCACCUGGGUGCCGAUGACUUGGCUGGGGUGCAGCCCCAGACCUGGCCCCAAAUUCCUGGGAUGAGUGACGCCAGUUUUCAGGGAUCAGUGCUGUUCCAGACUGCAGAGUUGGAGGAAUCUGGAGAUUUUUUCCCUGCUGAAAAAUCUGAUAGAGAGAUCCCUGGCCGCCCAGGGGGGCCUCACUGCCCAGGCCUGGCCAUGUCCUCC
rnacentral:lncRNA from 1 species